rnacentral:tRNA from 1 species
GCCCUGGUGGUGCAAUGGUUUAGCAUUAGGCUGCUAAUCCAAAGGUUGGUGGUUCAAACCCACCCAGCGGUU